AUCCUAGCUACUUGGGAGGCUGAGGCAGGAGAAUCGCUUUAACCCAGGAGGCGGAGGUUGCAGUGAGCCGAGAUUGCAAUAGUGCACUCCAGUCUGGGUGACAGAGCCAGAGGCCAUCAGAAAAUAAAAAAGAAAGAAAGAAAGAAGAAGGAAGGAAGGAAGGAGGAAUGAAGGAAGAAAAAGAAAGAAAGAGAGAGAAAGAAAGAAAGAAAGGUGAUCCUAUCUCAGCCACCCGUGAGAACAGCCUGUGGUUGUUUGGCAUCACCAUCCUUCCUGACUCUGGAUUUAUGUGAUACCAAUAAGCAAUCAUUUUCUUACAUUUAUUCACACUUUAUAGUCAAAAAAUAUGACAUACGUAUCUGGUGUGUGGAAGAUAUGUUGCAGCUGAAGGGGGCUGGGAGGGUCUUUGUUCCCUUGGGGAUGCUGAAUAAACUACGUCUUGUGUGGCUGUGUUUUGGCUGCUACCCAUCAAUGAGGUCAGGUGUGGAAUUUUCCACCUGGGGCAUCAUGUCAGUGCUUAAAAAUUUCAGAUUUUGGAGCAUUUUGGAUUUUUGGAUGAGGGAUGCUAACCUGAUAAUAGCUAACGCUCAUACAGCACUGUGCGCUCACAAUCUCUAAAUGCUUUAAUCUGUAUCGAGUCAUUACUCCACACAACCACCCUGUGAAGCAGGCACUGUCAACAACCCACUUCAUGGAUGAGGACACCAAGGCACCAGGAGGCUACGUAAUCACCCAAGACCACACAGGUAAGUGUCAGAGCUGAGACCCAAACCCAGCAGUCAGACUCUAGAGCCGAUUCCCUCCCAACCACUAUUCUUUACUGCCUGUAAAUGAAAACUAAGUUAAAAUUCUAGCCCGAUUUCCAUGAGCUGGUCAUUUGGACAGUACCCAGCUAAAUGGAAUCCUGCCACCUAACGGCACCGUCACUAGAUGGCAGUGAAGACACCAGGUCGGUUUUCCUCCCUGCAGACUCUGCCUUGACGUCUCCGGGCGUUGCAGAAAUCACACCGCCCUGAUGUCAGCCUUAGCAGCGAGGAUUCCUCCAGACUUCCAACCUAAACGUUCAGAGUCACUUCCGAGGCUCAACUCAGGACACUGUGCUCAGGGGAAAAUAGUCAAAUACUAGAUGUCAAAACCUCAAAAGAAAAGAGUGAGUUUAGAAAAACAGUGGUUCUUCAAGGAGCCCCAGCCAGGGGGUGCAUCUUGGAACUGCUAAAAGCUGAAGAAAAGAGUCCUGGGCAAAAUUUGCAAUAAAAAGGCACGUGGUAAUCAUCGACCUCUAGACAGAGACAUGGCUAGACUUCAGGUCCCACGGCCUCAGUUACAUCACCCUCGGGAGGGUGUGGCCUGUUCUUGAAGACCUCUAGAAAGGUCGCUCCUCAGCUUGCAGCCAGUACCACCCCACCUCCCGCUGCAGGUGGACAGGGCCUGCAGUGUUCUGCAGCUGCUCUUCUCCUGCCUCCCAAAUCCUGGCUGGCCUAUAACUUGCUUUGACUGAUGCAUUGCAGCACCCAGCAAUGUGCAAGGUCAGAGUCUGGGCCUCCAGGAACCUUGUGCAUCCACCAUGACCUUCUCGGAAUGCACUUGUGGCCUGUAAGGAAGCCCUGGAGGAGGCAAGCUGAGUCACGACUGCCCAUGUGAAGAAGGAGGGCCAGCACACACCACCAGGCCUGUGAGGCAGGCCCUGCAGACCUGUCCAGCGGGUGCCAGCUGGGUGCAGCCUCCCAAGCGAGCUCGAACAGCCCCCAGAGCCAGGAGACAGAAUGGAUCGUCCUGGUUGUAAGCCACCUAGUUUUGGUGUGGUUUGUUAUGUGGCGAGAUAACCGGCCCACCUCUCUGGUGGGAAAGUCCGGUGCAUAUAAAAGGUAGUUAUUUCCCUGAGUAUUAGAGCUGGGACGGGGAGAGGUAGGGAGGGUGGGGAGAGGUAGGGAGGGUGGGGUAAGGCUGGGUAAUGGAUCCCAAAUUACAGCUGGAUAGGAGGAGAGAGUUCUGCCUUGGGGCAGGACUGUAGGGUGAAUGUGGUCAGCACUAAUUUAUUGUAUAUUUCAAAAAGCUAGAAGUGAGGAUUUUGAAUGUUCAGAACACCGAGAAAUGAUACAUGUCUGGAGAUGAAUUUGCUAAUUACCCGGAUUUGGUCAUUAUGCAUUGUAAACGUGCAUCGCAGUAUCACACUGUACCCCAUAAAUAUGUAUAAUUAUUAUCAAAAUACAGGAGGAAAAAACUUUAUGAAACCUACUGCCAAAUCCAAAGUUUGAAUAAAUUGUC
rnacentral:lncRNA from 10 species